GACGAACGCUGGCGGCGUGCCUAAUACAUGCAAGUCGAACGCAGUGGGGACGGGUGCGUAAAACGUGGGUAACCUCCCAUCAGAGGGGAUAACACUUGGAAACAGGUGCUAAACCGCAACUGAUGGAUGGACCCGCGGGGGAUUAGCCAGUUGGUGGGGUAACGGCGAACCAAGGCCACGAUGCAUAGCGGACCUGAGAGGGGGACCGGCCACACUGGGACUGAGACACGGCCCAGACUCCUACGGGAGGCAGCAGUAGGGAAUCUUGGGCAAUGGACGAAAGUCUGACCGAGCAACGCCGCGUGAGUGAAGAAGGUUUUCGGAUCGUAAAGCUCUGUUGUUGGGGAAGCGGUAUCUAACCAGAAAGCCACGGCUAACUACGUGCCAGCAGCCGCGGUAAUAC
rnacentral:rRNA from 1 species